rnacentral:rRNA from 1 species
GACGAACGCUGGCGGCGUGCUUAACACAUGCAAGUCGAACGGAAAGGCCCUGCUUUUGUGGGGUGCUAGCGUGGCGAACGGGUGAGUAACACGUGAGUAACCUGCCCAUGACUUUGGGAUAACUUCAGGCAAGUGGGGCUAAUACCGGCUAGGAGCUCCUGCUGCAUGGUGGGGGUUGGAAAGUUUCGGCGGUUGGGGAUGGACGCGCGGCUUAUCAGCUUGUUGGUGGGGUAGUGGCUAACCAAGGCUUCGACGGGUAGCCGGCCUGAGAGGGUGAACGGGCACAUUGGGACUGAGAGACGGCCCAGACGCCUACGGUAGGCAGCAGUGGGGAAUAUUGCACAGUGGUCGGGAGCGUGAUGCAGCAACGCCGGGUGCGUGAUGACGUCCUUCGUGUUGUGAACCGCUUUCGCUUGUGACGAAGCGUGAGUGACGGUAAUGGGUAAAGAAGCACCGGCUAACUACGUG